rnacentral:rRNA from 1 species
GAUGAACGCUAGCGGCAGGCCUAAUACAUGCAAGUCGAACGGUAACAGGUGUAGCAAUACAUGCUGACGAGUGGCGCACGGGUGCGUAACGCGUAUGCAAUCUACCUUUAACUGGUGAAUAGCCCGAAGAAAUUCGGAUUAAUACACCAUAGUAUAGUUGAGUGGCAUCACUUAACUAUUAAAACUCCGGUGGUUAAAGAUGAGCAUGCGUGACAUUAGCUAGUUGGUGAGGUAAUGGCUCACCAAGGCUACGAUGUCUAGGGGAUCUGAGAGGA